GAUGAACGCUGACAGAAUGCUUAACACAUGCAAGUCUUUGGCGAAUCUGUGCUUGCACCGGCUAGCCAAGGCGGACGGGUGAGUAACGCGUAAAGAACUUGCCCUGCAGACAGGGAUAACAGACGGAAACGACUGAUAACACCUGAUACAGUUGCCGGCACGCAUGUGCCUGGCAAUGAAAAGAGAUGCUGCAGGAGAGCUUUGCGUCCUAUUAUCUUGUUGGUGAGGUGACGGCUCACCAAGGCGAUGAUAGGUAGCCGGCCUGAGAGGGUGAACGGCCACAAGGGGACUGAGAUACGGCCCUUACUCCUACGGGAGGCAGCAGUGGGGAAUAGUGGACAAUGGGGGCAACCCUGAUCCAGCAAUUCUGUGUGCACGAAGAAGGUUUUCGGAUUGUAAAGUGCUUUCAGCAGGGAAGAAGAAAGUGACGGUACCUGCAGAAGAAGCGACGGCUAAAUACGUG
rnacentral:rRNA from 1 species